rnacentral:rRNA from 1 species
GACAGACAAUCGGCGUAAAGAGUGGUUAAGUACUAUACUUUACUAAAGCCAAACACCUUCAAAGCUGUUAUACGCACCCGAAGGUCAGAAGCCCAAUCACGAAAGUGGCUUUAAACUAACUGAACCCACGAAAGCUAGGGCACAAACUGGGAUUAGAUACCCCACUAUGCCUAGCCUUAAACAUUGAUGAUAGCUUACAAUUAUCAUCCGCCUGGGAACUACGAGCACCAGCUUAAAACCCAAAGGACUUGGCGGUGCUUUAGACCCACCUAGAGGAGCCUGUUCUAGAACCGAUAACCCCCGUUCAACCUCACCCUUCCUUGUUCUCCCCGCCUAUAUACCACCGUCGUCAGCUUACCCUAUGAAGGCCUAACAGUAAGCAAAACCGGCAAAGCCCAAAACGUCAGGUCGAGGUGUAGCGUAUGGAAGGGGAAGAAAUGGGCUACAUUCACUAACUCAGUGUACACGAAUGACACCCUGAAACACGUGUCUGAAGGAGGAUUUAGCAGUAAGCAGAAAAUAGAGUGUUCUACUGAAACUGGCCCUGAAGCGCGCACACACCGCCCGUCACUCUCCCCGAGCUAAGACUCUCAAAUAAAUAAAUAACCAUACC